rnacentral:lncRNA from 1 species
GGGCUAUAUUCAAUAGGCUAGGAGAGGAAAAGAGUUGAAUAAUUGAGUACAAUAAUUGCAAGUUAUAUGUUCUUCUUCUAUUAUUCAGAUAUGUUGAUGAUUUUGAAUAUAUAUAUACUUUAUAUUGCUCAACAUGCCUUAAAUUAUAAAUCAAAAAUCUUAAAUUAUGAUCCUAAGAUUUAUGCAUUUAAUGCUUAAUCAAAUAAUGAUAGAAAUG